rnacentral:piRNA from 1 species
UAAAUGGCAGAUGGAGUGAUUGGGGCUUC